rnacentral:rRNA from 1 species
GCAGUAGCCGCGGUAAUACGUAGGGCGCAAGCGUUAUCCGGAAUUAUUGGGCGUAAAGAGCUCGUAGGCGGUUUGUCGCGUCUGCCGUGAAAGUCCGGGGCUCAACCCCGGAUCUGCGGUGGGUACGGGCAGACUAGAGUGAUGUAGGGGAGACUGGAAUUCCUGGUGUAGCGGUGAAAUGCGCAGAUAUCAGGAGGAACACCGAUGGCGAAGGCAGGUCUCUGGGCAUUAACUGACGCUGAGGAGCGAAAGCAUGGGGAGCGAACAGGAUUAGAUACCCCAGAGUCCCUGUCUCUUAUACA